rnacentral:rRNA from 1 species
GACGAACGCUGGUGGCGUGCUUAACACAUGCAAGUCGAACGGUAAGGCCCUUCGGGGUACACGAGUGGCGAACGGGUGAGUAACACGUGGGUGAUCUGCCCUGCACUUCGGGAUAAGCCUAGGAAACUGGGUCUAAUACCGGAUAGGACCACUGCCUGCAUGGGUGGUGGUGGAAAGCUUUUGCGGUGUGGGAUGGGCCCGCGGCCUAUCAGCUUGUUGGUGGGGUGAUGGCCUACCAAGGCGACGACGGGUAGCCGGCCUGAGAGGGUGACCGGCCACACUGGGACUGAGAUACGGCCCAGACUCCUACGGGAGGCAGCAGUGGGGAAUAUUGCACAAUGGGCGCAAGCCUGAUGCAGCGACGCCGCGUGAGGGAUGACGGCCUUCGGGUUGUAAACCUCUUUCAGCACCGACGAAGCGCAAGUGACGGUAGGUGCAGAAGAAGGACCGGCCAACUACGUGCCAGCCGCCGCAGUAA